GGGGAUAUAGCUCAGUGGCCCAGUGUUUGCCUGGCAAGCAUGAAGUCCUGAGUUUGAUUCUUGGUUCCCCCU
rnacentral:tRNA from 1 species